GCGGGAGUGGCGGAAUUGGCAGACGCGCUAGAUUCAGGUUCUAGUGCCCAAAAGGCAUAUGGGUUCAAGUCCCUUCUCCCGCACCA
rnacentral:tRNA from 4 species